rnacentral:rRNA from 1 species
AACGUAGGUGGCGAGCGUUAUCCGGAUUUACUGGGCGUAAAGCGUGCGCAGGCGGUCUUGCAAGACAGGUGUGAAAUCCCCGGGCUUAACCUGGGAACUGCACUUGUGACUGCAAGGCUGGAGUACGGCAGAGGGGGAUGGAAUUCCGCGUGUAGCAGUGAAAUGCGUAGAUAUGCGGAGGAACACCGAUGGCGAAGGCAAUCCCCUGGGCCUGUACUGACGCUCAUGCACGAAAGCGUGGGGAGCAAACAGG